rnacentral:lncRNA from 1 species
AAGAAGGGAAGAAUUAAAAGCACGGGGGGGGGGGGGGGACGUGAGACCUUGUGCGAGUCCUAUUCCGGAAGGAAUAUUCCUCCGAAUCUGUGCGCUCCCCCAUUAACCCCUUGGGGUCAAACACGGGUCCCACCCCCCGGAGGUCUGGGCCUGCUGGAAGCUUGGGGGUCAGGGGACAGGAGUGUCCGCGUGGGAGAGGGACCCGCACCGGCUGACCCAGGAGUGGGCGUGGCCAGAUCCCUUAAGAUACCCGUCCGGGUGACCCCCCUGCGAAUCACUGAAACCUGUGAGCAACGCGUCCCCUGCGCACACACUCCCCCCCCACCCCCCGUGUGCCUCCGCCCAGGGCAGGACUUGAAAUCACCCGUCAGACUGGGAAGGACACAGCUGCCUUGUCAGCCGUUUGAUCUCCAGCCGGCGAGGACAGGAGGAGUUGUGGGGGCCUGUCCGUGGCCUGGGGACAAGGCCAGCCCGCAGCCGCGUGGACAUCUCCCCCACCCCGCGCCCCGUCCCUCCCCAGGCCGCGGCCAACUUCGUCUAUUUGGUGACCUGCCUCCAUGGCUGGGCGCGCCACGCGCCGGACCCCUCUCCCAUCCCCGGGCUCCUCGGGUCUGGGCCCGGAGGCGGCCAGGGCGGGUCAGGGCCUGGCUCAGGGCUGGGCUUCGCCGGAGCCCAGCUGCACCCACCCCACCCCGCCCCCAGGCCGGGCUCCGGCGGCUGCACUCGAGCGAGCGGCUGGGCGGUGACGCCUCCGGGCGCGCCGCCUCCCUCGGGUCCUUUCCUUGGGGGACACUUGGGAGUUUUUGCUCGCCCCCAAGGUCUUGGGUGGGGCGAAGGCACCAGCAACCAGAGCGCAGGAAGAACAGAAAGAACUCCCUGGCCAAGCACACCCCCCCCCCAAAUUUAGUAACAAUAAAAUGUGCCCUAGCACGCAAUUUUGCGGACUGGGCUGCAGGGUCGGUGUCCGAGGGGGUGCGGACUGGGCAGGGCGGGGGUGGGCAGGGGUCGGCAUUCCCCCCACCUCGACUACACCGGCUACCCGCCACCCCCACCACCCCGCUCCACGUGGUCCAAAGUCCAGAAGCACGGCUCCCUCUUUCCCACCGUGAAAAUCUUUCCAGGAAAGUGGCCUAA